rnacentral:rRNA from 1 species
CAGCAGCCACGGGAAUACGAAGGGGGCUAGCGUUGUUCGGAAUUACUGGGCGUAAAGCGCACGUAGGCGGAUAUUUAAGUCAGGGGUGAAAUCCCGCAGCUCAACUGCGGAACUGCCUUUGAUACUGGGUAUCUUGAGUAUGGAAGAGGUUAGUGGAAUUGCGAGUGUAGAGGUGAAAUUCGUAGAUAUUCGCAGGAACACCAGUGGCGAAGGCGGCUAACUGGUCCAUAACUGACGCUGAGGUGCGAAAGCGUGGGGAGCAAACAGGAUUAGAUACCCCAGUAGUCCCUGUCUCUUAUAC